AACCAUUUGAUCUGCUCACUAAGUCACAAACCUGACUGCCACAACUGGAAGAGCUACUCUUCAGAGAUGGAGAGGCAGAGAUACACCUUCAAAAAGGAUUGCCAAGCCAGGUAAAAUUUGUCUUAUUUUCUUUGAACUUAAAUUAGGCUUGUUGUUUGUAAAUUCAUAGAUAAGUUUCUAAAGGAACCUGGUAAAACUUCUUGUGUAUUAACUACAUUAUACAGGAACUAAACUCAUAGGCUGCAAGUAACAUUAGUCAGGGGAACUCUCUGACUCAUAACACAAAGUGUUUCCAGAAAAGACCUAGUGACAGCACAAGUAUUUGUACAGAUGUGUGUCUAAAAGAACAGAUUUGGUGGAGUAAAACAUAAAAGGUUUGUUUCAGUUCCUCACCUGCUUCACUCUGUGACCAUACGGGUGCUCGUGCUGUGCAAGAAAGAUGUACAAACCAGAAAAGGA
rnacentral:lncRNA from 1 species